rnacentral:siRNA from 1 species
ACAGUGGGCGCAAAUGCAAUAUAU